AUCGGAACGGGUGUAUUAUAUAUUUGUAGUAUUUAUCCUGUAUAUAGUAUAAAUAGACAAGUGGUGCAGUUGUCAUUUUUUACAAGUGGAAAAACGCGCGUGGAGAGGAAAACCACUUGUGAAGGGCGAAACUCGUAUAUUUAAUUAAUAGUAGUAGAAUAUUAAUCAAUAGUAGUAGAGAUAGAGAGAUCUGUUUACGUGAGCUCUCUAAUAACGAGGCCAAGCCUAACGGUAUUUUCAAGCUUCAACUGCACCUGCGCGACGUCCGGUCGUUCUUACGGUAUUUUCGACGUCCGAUCAUUCUGAUACUACUUGAUUUUAUUUUAUUUUAUUUACAUACAUAGUUUUGCAAUUUACAAACAAUAAUCAUGGAGCACGCCAGCACGGUACAGCAUGAGUAUGACAGGGGCAAAAGUCAAAAAGGCGCUC
rnacentral:lncRNA from 7 species